CCUGGCCGGGGGCGGUGCGGGGGCCGGGCUCCAGGUCCCGGCGCCUCCGCAGGGGCCUGGCCGUGCCGAGCCGGUCCGGACGCAUGUUAGCAGGUGGGGUCCCGGUCCCUGGCCCCGGCGGUGGCUCCCUCCCGCCCCUGCGGAGGGCUCUCGCGGAGUGUGUACAAGAAACUUACUCCUUAUACUGACCGACUUCUACGACUACGCACAUGAUGAUAAGCGCAUGGAGAAAUGCAGCGUUUGGGAAGACCAGGCUGCACUCGGUUCAGAACAGAAAAUAAACUGAAGCUUAAUAAGGAAA